UCGAGAAUCUUCGGCAAUGAGCGCAAGCUUGACCGAGCGACGCCGCGUGCGGGAUGAAGGCCUUCGGGUUGUAAACCGCUUUGGUCCGAAAGAAAGGGUAAAACUUGAUCGAUCGGAGAAACAAGGACGGGCUAAGUUCGUGCCAGCAGCCGCGGUAAGACGAACCGUCCAAACGUUAUUCGGAAUCACUGGGCUUAAAGGGCGCGUAGGCGGCCGAGCGGGUCGUGGGUGAAAUCCUCCAGCUUAACUGGAGAACUGCUUACGAUACCACUGCGGCUCGAGGAAGGAAGGGGUCAUGGGAACUGUCGGUGGAGCGGUGAAAUGCGUUGAUAUCGACAGGAACGCCUGUGGCGAAAGCGCAUGACUGGUCCUUUUCUGACGCUGAGGCGCGAAAGCCAGGGGAGCAAACGGGAUUAGAUACCCUAGUAGUCCCUGAGCGGGCUGGCAAGGCGCAU
rnacentral:rRNA from 1 species